AUUAGGGUUGAUACGGUACUCGGUCUGUUGAGGAAAGUCCAUACUUCCACAGCCUGCGAUGGCUGUAGUGUUCGUGCCUGUCGCAAGACAGGGCGGGAGAUAUCUCCCGACGACGGCAAAAGCGGCUCACGUAGUCGCCAGUAGCUAUAAAGUGCCACAGAAACGAUACAGGUCGGCGACGGCCUGGUGCAAAGGUAAACUCCACGAGGAAGAAACCCAGUGUGUAGGGGAGCCCUCCGAAAGGAAACCGAACGGACGGAGGGGACAGCAGCUCGUCUGCUGUCAGAGAAAUGAUUCCUAGAACAGAAAAUGGCUUACGGCU
rnacentral:RNase_P_RNA from 1 species